UACGAAGGGUGCAAGCGUUAUUCGAAAUUACUGGGCGUAAAGAGUGCGUAGACGGUAUAUUAAGUUCGUUGUUAAAAAACUCCGGCCUAACUGGAGGGGUGCGAUGAAAACUGGUGUACUAGAGGGUGAGAGAGAGAAGUGGAAUUCCCGGAGUAGCGGUAAAAUGCGUGGAUCUCGGGAGGAACACCAAUGGCGAAGGCAGCUUCGUUGGCUCAUUUCUGACGUUGAGGCACGAAAGCGUGGGGAGCAAACAGGG
rnacentral:rRNA from 1 species